UUUCUUCUUCGAAUCAUAUAUAUACACCGCUGUCUCGGUGAGAGUUUGCAUGAUAAGUUCAUGACAAUUCUAUAUUAAGAAGCAUGAUAUGUGAUGUCAUGGAAACAAUUGUUAUUGAUGAUUCCCUUGGAGCGUUUUCAUGGGCAAUUGAUUUCAUCAUUAUCCAUGGCUCUGUUCUCUUCCAAAUUCUGUGGUCACAUUUCAGGAGUGGGGUUGGGUGCGUUUCCAUUCAUCCCGCUGUGUAAAGCGAGGUUGCUGUGGUGCUCGUGGUAGUGUGCCGCAACCUGAAGAAUCCCCAUCACGGGUGUCUCUAUUCCCAGCCCACCGAGAUCAUUCGAGCUAUGCCCGGCACACCUAAACACACAAACCAGAGUCAAUGGAGCACUGAGAUGGUGAAGGAAGCAACAGGGCAGGAGAAGAGCGUGAGAUGGUAGGCACCAGCAUCGAGUCUUUAGCUUCAAUCAUUGCCCUUUGUGAAGGUGAAGGCAUGCCUUCCUACAACUCCACUCUUCUCUCGGCUGACGAUUACUACCAUGGAGGGUGCGGAGUCAUCGGUAAAGGGUCAUGUCAUCUCUUUCUUUCAAGAUGUUCGCAUGAUUACGAUCCAAGAUAUGAUUUUGCUUGCCAUGAUUUUUAUAGUAUUCUUUUUGACAAUAGUAAUUGGCGAGAUCCAUAUCUUACUUGCCCAUACUAACUUUUGGAUCAAA
rnacentral:lncRNA from 1 species